AACAGAAAUAUGUUUUAUUUUCUGAUUGGGGGAUUAUUUUCUGAAUGGAUCAGCGUGUGUCUACCCUUCUCCGACAGGUGCGGGUAACCCGCUGAACCCCAUGCAUGAUGGGGUUUGGUGAUUGCAAUUAUUUCCCAUGAACAAGGAACUCCCAGUAAGCGCAGGUCAUAAGCUCGCGUUGAUUAAGUCCC
rnacentral:ncRNA from 1 species